GGAGAGGUGGCAGAGUGGUCGAAUGUACCUGACUCGAAAUCAGGCGUACGUGUAAGCGUACCGAGGGUUCGAAUCCCUCCCUCUCCGCCA
rnacentral:tRNA from 19 species